UUCCCUUCCUUUCCCAUCCCAUCCCAUCCCUUUCCUUCCCUUCCCAUCCCUUCCUUUUCCUUCCAUCUCCUUCCUUGCUGUUACUUUCCAUUCUCUUCCCUUCCAAUCCCUUUCCUUUCUUUCCCUUACCUUUUCUUUCGUUCCUUACCCUUCCCUUCUUUUUUCUUCUCUCUCCUCCCCUUCUCCUCCUUUCCCUCUCCCUUCCCUUCCCUUCCCAUCCUUUCCCUUUCUUUCUCUUCCCUUUCCUAUUCUACCCUUCCCUUCGCUUCCCUUCCAUACCCUAUACUAACAUGUCCCAACCUACCAGUAUCUCAACCUCCAUAUUUACAAGCUUCAGUCGUUGUUGCAUUAAGUAAACAUGUAAGUCCUAAUCUGCUUCAUUCUUCCACAACCUUCCUUAGUAAACCAGUUCUUGCCUUGCUGUCUUGGGCCUGAAUACCCCUUAAAAUUUGUACCUACAUCGACGGGGGGUUGUUAUAUGUGUUCACGGUCUAGGGCAUAUCCGUCCUUUUGAGUCGUUUACUGUACGCUAACUCAGUUCCCUCACACGCAGUUCUACUUAGGGUUGCAUUGUAAGACAUUUCGACGCCCAAGAACACAUAUUUGACAAGGCUUUCGUAGGAGUUGUGGGCAUUUCCAAGAGUAGUUUUAUGACCCUGGUGGUAGUUUGACCCUUCUUCUGUAUCAUGAACCUGAAGAAACAAUCAUUAGAACCCAACUGACCCCCUCUUUGACCUUUAGAAAUAGCUGAUAUGAGAAGCGAAAGUCUCUUGUAAUACCAGCCUAAGUGUCAUUCGUCCUUAAUAGUACCAGUGAGGUCUGUGUAUGUCCCUCGUUCGUGUUUAUCCGCACACAUGUUCGAGGAAAGCGGCUCCCAAAUCUUAGAACGCAGUUUGGUAUCAUUUGGCGGUGUUCUGGGACUGUCGGGGCUUUCACACACCCAGCUACUUCAGAUAAGGCUUUCGUGGAAGUCGUGGAGUUCUUAGUAUUUCCUUGUGGGUAGUCUGGGGAGUCUAGGGAUAGUUUGGCAAGGCUUCUUCUGCACCAUUAACGUGAGAAGCACUCGUGGGAACUUUUGAUUAAAUUUCGUAGAGGUUGUGGUGGUGGUGGUAUUUCCAUGGGUAGUUUAAUGACCCUAAGGAUAGUUUGACAAGGCUUCUGCACUUUGAAUGAGGAGAAAUACUGAUGAAAACCCGACGGAUCCCCUCUGAGGCCUUUGGAAAUAGCUGUUGUAUGUACCGAAAACGCCUGAGAAUACACACAUUUGAUAAGGCUUUCCUAGAGGCUGUUGUGGUGUUAGUAUUUCCGUGGGUGGUUAUAUGAGCCUAGGGAUAGUU